UUGACCUCGGAUCAGGUAGGGAUACCCGCUGAACUUAAGCAUAUCAAUAAGCGGAGGAAAAGAAACCAACAGGGAUUGCCUCAGUAACGGCGAGUGAAGCGGCAACAGCUCAAAUUUGAAAUCUGCCUCUAGGCCGAAUUGUAAUUUGUAGAAGAUGCUUCGGGUGUGGCUCCGGUCUAAGUUCCUUGGAACAGGACGUCAUAGAGGGUGAGAAUCCCGUACGUGACUGGUGGCCUCCGCCCGUGUGAAGCUCUUUCGACGAGUCGAGUUGUUUGGGAAUGCAGCUCAAAAUGGGUGGUAUAUUUCAUCUAAAGCUAAAUAUUGGCCAGAGACCGAUAGCGCACAAGUAGAGUGAUCGAAAGAUGAAAAGCACUUUGGAAAGAGAGUUAAACAGUACGUGAAAUUGUUGAAAGGGAAGCGCUUGCAACCAGACUUGCGCGCCGUCGAUCAUCCGAGGUUUUCCCCGGUGCACUCGGCGGUGCUCAGGCCAGCAUCGGUUUCGGUGGUUGGAUAAAGGCCUUGGGAAUGUGGCUCCUCCGGGAGUGUUAUAGCCCUCGGUGCAAUGCAGCCUACCGGGACCGAGGACCGCGCUUCG
rnacentral:rRNA from 1 species